AACUCCCUUGACGGUACUUAAUGAAUAAGCCCCGGCUAAUUAUGUGCCAGCAGCCGCGGUAAUACAUAAGGGGCGAGCGUUAUCCGGAAUUAUUGGGCGUAAAGGGUGCGUAGGCGGUUUAAUAAGUCUAUAGUUUAAUUUCAGUGCUUAACGCUGUUGUGCUAUAGAAACUGUUUUACUAGAGUGAGUUAGAGGCAAGCGGAAUUCCAUGUGUAGCGGUAAAAUGCGUAAAUAUAUGGAGGAACACCAGAGGCGUAGGCGGCUUGCUGGGACUUUACUGACGCUGAGGCACGAAAGCGUGGGGAGCAAACAGGAUUAGAUACCCUGGUAGUCCACACCGUAAACGAUGAGUACUAAGUGUCGGGUAAAACCGGUACUGAAGUUAACACAUUAAGUACUCCGCCUGAGUAGUACGUACGCAAGUAUGAAACUUAAAGGAAUUGACGGGACUCCGCACAAGCGGUGGAUCAUGUUGUUUAAUUCGAAGAUACACGAAAAACCUUACCAGGUCUUGACAUUUUCUUGCGAAGUUAUAGAAAUAUAAUGGAGGUUAUCAGGAAAACAGGUGGUGCAUGGUUGUCGUCAGCUCGUGUCGUGAGAUGUUAGGUUAAGUCCUAAAACGAGCGCAACCCUUGUCGUUAAUUGCCAGCAUGUAAUGAUGGGGACUUUAACGAGACUGCCAAUGAAAAAUUGGAGGAAGGUGGGGAUUACGUCAAAUCAUCAUGCCCCUUAUGAUCUGGGCUACAAACGUGAUACAAUGGUUGAUACAAAGAGUAGCUGAAACGCGAGUUCUUAGCCAAUCUCACAAAAUCAAUC
rnacentral:rRNA from 1 species